UACAGAGGUCCCAAGCGUUGUUCGGAUUCACUGGGCGUAAAGGGUGCGUAGGCGGUGAGGUAAGUCGGAUGUGAAAUCUCCGAGCUCAACUCGGAAAUGGCAUUGGAAACUACCUCGCUAGAGAGUUGGAGGGGGGACUGGAAUACUUGGUGUAGCAGUGAAAUGCGUAGAUAUCAAGUGGAACACCAGUGGCGAAGGCGAGUCUCUGGACAUUUCCUGACGCUGAGGCACGAAAGCCAGGGGAGCAAACGGG
rnacentral:rRNA from 1 species